GUUCGCUUGGGAUCAGAAACUUGAAUGAAUAGUUUAGGGAUUUGAGCGUACCAGGUAAAGAAGCACCGGCUAACUCCGUGCCAGCAGCUGCGGUAAUACGGAGGGUGUAAGCAUUAAUCAGAUUUAUUGGGCGUAAAGGGCGCGUAGGCGGACAGACAAGUCAGAUGUGAAAUUUCAGAGCUCACCUCUGAAGCUGCAUUUGAUACUGUUUGUCUAGAAGAUAGGCGGAGAAAAUAGAAUUUUACGUGUAGCGGUGAAAUGCGUAGAUACGUGAAGGAAUACCGGAGGCGAAGGCGAUUUUCUAGCUUAUAUUUGACGCUGAGGCGCGAAAGCAAGGGGAGCAAACAGGAUUAGAUACCCUGGUAGUCCUUGCCGUAAACGAUGCAUACUUGGUGUAGCUGGGCUCAACCCCGGCUGUGUCGGAGCUAACGUGUUAAGUAUGCCGCCUGAGGAGUACGCUCGCAAGGGUGAAACUCAAAAGAAUUGACGGGGACCCGCACAAGCAGUGGAGCAUGUGGUUUAAUUCGAUGCAACGCGAAGAACCUUACCCAGGCUUGACAUGCAGAGGAAGGUGCCCGAAAGGGUUACCGCCUACGGGCCUCUGCACAGGUGCUGCAUGGCUGUCGUCAGCUCGUGCCGUGAGGUGUUGGGUUAAGUCCCGCAACGAGCGCAACCCUUAUCGUUAGUUGCCAACAUUUAGGAUGGGAACUCUAACGAGACUGCCUAGGUUAACUAGGAGGAAGGUGAGGAUGACGUCNAGUCCGCAUGGCCCUUAUGC
rnacentral:rRNA from 1 species